UACGGAGGAUCCAAGCGUUAUCCGGAUUUAUUGGGUUUAAAGGGUGCGUAGGCGGCUUUUUUAAGUCAGGGGGUGAAAAACUUGCGGCUCAACCGUAAGCUUGCCUUUUGAUACUGAGGAGCUUGAAUACACUUGAGGUAGGCGGAAUGUGACAAGUAGCGGUGAAAUGCAUAGAUAUGUCACAGAACACCAAUUGCGAAGGCAGCUUACUAAAAGUGAGAUUGACGCUGAGGCACGAAAAGCGUGGGGAUCAAACAGG
rnacentral:rRNA from 1 species